UACGAAGGGUGCAAGCGUUAAUCGGAAUUACUGGGCGUAAAGCGUGCGUAGGCGGUUUUUUAAGUCUGCUGUGAAAUCCCCGGGCUCAACCUGGGAAUGGCAGUGGAUACUGGAAAGCUAGAGUGUGUCAGAGGAUGGUGGAAUUCCCGGUGUAGCGGUGAAAUGCGUAGAGAUCGGGAGGAACACCAGUGGCGAAGGCGGCGACCUGGGCCAAUAUUGACGCUGAGGUGCGAAAGCGUGGGGAGCAAACAGG
rnacentral:rRNA from 1 species